rnacentral:rRNA from 1 species
UACGUAGGUGGCAAGCGUUGUCCGGAUUUAUUGGGUUUAAAGGGUGCGUAGGCGGCCCUGUAAGUCAGUGGUGAAAUACUCCAGCUUAACUGGAGGGGUGCCAUUGAUACUGCAGGGCUUGAGUGGAGUCGAAGUAGGCGGAAUUGACGGUGUAGCGGUGAAAUGCAUAGAUAUGACCCGGAACACCUAUUGCGAAGGCAGCAGGCUAAGCGAAGAUUGACGCUGAGGCUCGAAAGCGUGGGGAUCAAACAGG